UGAUGAGCACUUGCUGUAGACUAGGGGACCCUGGGAAGAAAAUCUUGACUAUUCUGAUCUAUGUCUUUCCCUCUUUGGGGUAGGAGUUUUACUUAGGGUCUGUAAAAAUUAACGGAUGGCUAGAAAGAGGAGAGCAGCCACACUGCGCACAGCUGUAGGUCCCUGACUCCUCUCGACCUGACUGAAGCAAUGCGUGGGAUGCUGGGGUGGAGCUCACUCUCACACUCAAGCGCAGAAGGCAUCAGCUCCCGAACAGUUUCCAACCCCAUCUGGGCCUCAGUGGGAACCCAAAUCUAGCAGUGUUUGGGGCACUUUGCUAAGUCAUCCUCCUGUGGAGCCGAGAGGCUCUCGGGUGCCCUGAGCAAAGGUACUGUGGGCUUCGGACAGCGGAGCACUGCCUGGAGAUCUGCCUUCGCUCUGACUCCUGGAUCGUGUCCAGAUGCUUGGAUACUCCUGUCCCACUGGGUGCCCCCUCAACAGGCUUGGUCCCUUCUCCUCUCAAGCCCCACCCUCUGGGAUCCUCUGCAGAAAACCUUCCCACAGUUCCUGCUGUAACUGGAAUUCAUAGAGAUCCAGGGGUGAGUAGAGGGACCAUAGCUAUAGCCAUCCAUAGAAGACAGAGGCAGAGGGGAUGGAG
rnacentral:lncRNA from 1 species